CAAUCACAAAAGAACUCACAUGAGAUGCACUCAGUGCCCACAGCAUACAGUCACCCAGUGCUCCUGCCCCAAGACUGCUUUUGAUGCAAUGGAGAAGUGUGGGUAAUUUGAAUAUAGCAUAUUCAACCACAAGAAUUUGAAUACAGGAUAAUUCCAACCAGGAGAAAAGCUAGUGUGGAUUCCAAGUGUGGAAGUAGAACGUGUGAAGAUGUCGUGGGAUCAAGAUUCGCUCUGCUCCUUUGGAAAGCAAUGAUUGUCACGACAAUCAUUUACUUGGUUCAGUCUUAAAAGUGACGUUUGUAAGUCUUGGACUUGCACAAGCGUUUUCAUUAGCUUGUAAAAUCACCCCAAACUUUUCUUUUUCUUUUUUUGUUGUCUUCAUGUAACAUUUCAUCAACAGAGAAGCAGAAUUUUAGAGACUCUUGUUUUUAUUUUGAAAGUCUUGUUAGUGUUUAAAUCACCUUGCCUCUGGAAAGACUUCUUUAGGAUGGGGUUAAAUCCCAUAGACCUCAUUAUUCACUUUCUCUAGAUCUACUUUCUGACAUGGAACUGGCUAUGUUCCUUCCUAUCACAACUCUGCUAAUCCGCAUCCCCCAGGAGAUGGCUGUGUAUUUUCCUUUUGUUCUUUGGUUUUGUAGUGAGAAGGAGGACGAUGGGGUCAGGCCCAGGGUCAGAUUUCUGCUCUUCUAACAAUGUAACCAUAGAGAAGUUAUUCAGUCUCCUAGUUUGCUUCCCAUGCUCCCGCUGACACAUGUAAUAGAAUCCUAAUGACUGUGACUCGCCAAAUUUCUAACUUUUAGUCAGUGUCUUCUCAUCUUUGACAGUUUCCCCUAAUUUUUUUUUAUAUUCAUGGUUUACUUAUUUACUAUACAUGUAUUAUUUUCAGAGUGGCAGCAAGAGUCUGGGACAGGCCAGGAACUCCAAAGUCCUGAGAGAAGAAGUGGACUCAGAACCUCAGCAAUUGGUGGCCAAUUAAUAAUGGCUGUGGGUCUCGGUGAUUAUUUCACAGGCCUUAAAAACUAGGACGGCACAUGGAGAAUGCGUGUUGGUUUUUGUUUUGUUUUUGUUUUUGUUUUUGUUUUUUUUGCACCUGAUUCCUAAAAACUUGGGAACUCCUGAAUUAUAAGGGAAAUAGAUGAUCCAAACUGGCAGCUUCACGGUAGAGGCUGAUUCCUAGGAAGAGUGGAAGAGUAAGCCUUGCUUGGGAGUGUGGAGCUUUCAACUCAAACCUCUGACUUCUGUGGAGUGAAAAGAGGUUGAAUAUUUAGUUCCUCGCCAAGGCUAUUGGCUCCAUUUGUCAGUAAUGUCAGGGUAAAAGUAUUCCUGGGCAACAGGAUUCAGGGAGCUUCUCAGAUGAUAACUGUGUCCAAGCACUAAAAGGGAGGCAUGCCUGGUCCGUGGGGACGCAGACUUCUGCCCUUGGGACCUGUCCAGACCUCCCCCUGAUGAAUGUCUUCAUCUCGUUGCUUAUUUGCAUAUUUUAUGAUAAAUAUAGUUAAGAGGCUUUCUGGGUUCUGUGACCUAUUCUGUCCAUCUACCAAGGUUUCUUGGGGACCAUUGUUUUAGAGCUAAUAGGUCAAAUUAUGGGUAACGAUUACAGGUGGUUUGAAAAUGUUGAAAGUCACACAUGGAGAGUGAGUUGUAGCUCAACGGUGAGGAGGUUGUCUGUGUGCCAGGCCUUUUUCUUUUUACUAUAACCAAAUACCAAUCGGAAGCAACUUAAAGGGAAUAUUUAUUUUGGAUUACAGUUUCAUGGCAGAGAAGGCAUGAUGGCUAACAGGGGUCACAGCCUCUUGGUAGAGAAGGCAUAGGGUCAACCCGGUUGGAUCUUCUGUAGCAGAAGUUUGUGGACUAGCUUGUUCACAUCUUGGUAGAGAGAAUGCAGACUUGAAGAUCAAAAGCAGAGCCAGGCUAUAAACACUCACAGUGGCUUACUGUCUGUGUGCUAGGCCAAGUAUCUAAAAGUUCCACAAUCGACAAAACUGCACCCUUAGCUGGGGACCAAGUGUUCAAAUACACACAUCUCGCCUGGAGAGUUCACUUUCAACCCUGCGUUCAACCCAAGCACUGUAGUGAACAGAAAAAUGUAUUUAAUACACUUAGCCUGCCAUCCGGGCUCAGUUUCACCUGUUGUACACAUGCUCAGAGCUCUUACAUCAAUUGACAGUGACGCCAAAUCCCCAGAUCCAAAGCCUAUCUUAUGCCAGUGCUGAGUGUCUCCUGUAGUUUCCUGGAUACCAGGAUGCCCAUAUGGAUAAGCUGUCCUUUGGUACUCCAAGUGUUAUCGUAGAGGAUCCAACACCAGCAGUUAGAACACAAGUCCUAAAGCUCAACUGUCUUAGUGGGAGCUUUUAUGUAUUUGUCUUCGGGUUAGCCAAGUACAGAUUAUCAUAGACAUGACAUCCUGUGGCUCAAGUGGACUGUGCCACCAGACAGAGGAACUGGCAGGGUUGAGUGAGCACAAAACCCGUGAAUCUCACAAUUGAGAAUGGUAGAACUGGGACCAACUCCCUGCCUAACUCUAUUACUGAGAUCACGAAUCCUUGCCUGUGAGCCCCUGAUACAGGUGUAUGUUCCCUCCAGGCUUGCUCUCUUCCAGCCCCUCUGUAUUCUUGACGCUCAGAAUCAAGCCAGCUUCUGCCCUGGGUUCUGCCUUCCCCUUCCUGCCUGCCAUGUGGACACCCGGUGGGGAAGCAUGGUCAGAGGAUCCCCAGUCCUAACUUCGGGCUGUGUAUGCCAGCUGUGCCUGGGUACACAGGAGACUGGGAAACACAGCAAUUGUUCUAGACGCCGUUGUUUUCCACCUGGAGAAACAGACUGGGGACCCUGUUACUGUCUGUGUUCUAUGUCUCCUGAGCAGCCACACUCUGGGCACCCUAGCAUCUAGGCAGACACGUAAAAACGUUCCAUUUUCUUUGGAAUCCAGAGAGUCCUCCAGAGGCAGCAGAAUUAAUCAGGUGUGUAAUUCUAGGAUCCAGAAGCCUCACAUAUUGAUAACAAAACCAGAAAGGGAGGCAGCCUAGCCGACGUGCCCAAUAAGAAAUGAGGUGCAGCAAGCAUCUUGGAAUCUUCAUAUAGGCAGUGGGAGGCCGCCUCGUCCUUUCCCUCUUACACCAUCUGCCAUGUGUGUCUAGUCAGUGGUAACUGCUUAUGUGACUCUUGAUAGUAUUGGGGACAACACAACGGCAAGGUCAUGUCUAUCCUCAGGUUGUAGAUCAGGAUUUCCCUGGCUCUGGUAACUUAAUGUAAUCGAGUCCCUCCCCCUCUCUCCUGGGAAAUAAGUUAUAAAUAACAAAUCAGAGUGCUCUUUCAUCAGAAGCUAUGGUUACUAGGAGACAGGCACUGUAGUCAGGUUCUCUGUUGUCACUGGACAUGCAUGGUGAAGUGUAAGCUUGGGUUCUUGCCCUUGGCUUUUCGAAUAAUUCUUAAAUAUAUACACUUUGAAUAGCAAAAAAGCUUUUAAGGAAUGAAGAUGGGCUCUAAUCUGAACUGCUCUGAAACUUUGGAUGCAUUGAUUCACCUUUCUGGGCUUCAGUUUAAUGCUCAUUAGUGAGAUGACACGAUUGGAGUACAUUAAUUACUGGCGAACUAUAGUCCAUGGUCCAAAUUUAUUCUUCUGUUUUUUUUUAUAUAUCUUACAAUUCAAGAGUGGUUUUGUAUCUUAAUUUCUUUUUAAAUUAUUGAUAUUUUGAUUUUUCGAGACAAUGUUUUCCCGUGUAGCUCAAGCUGGUUUCCUGCCUCAGUCUCCUAAGUGCCAAGGUGGUGAGUACAGGCCACUACGUCUGCCAGAUUUUUAUGUGUUUAUAUGAUUGAAAAACUGAGAGAGGAACAGCUAUUAUGUGAAAUAUUGCAGCAUUUCAUAUUAUACUACAGAGUAUACUAUUACAGGAGGUAAGAUAAUACAAUUACAUACUGUAUAGCAACAUAAUACUUUAUAACUGAAAAUUUGUAUAAAUAAAGUUUUAUUGGAACACA